rnacentral:rRNA from 1 species
GAUGAACGCUGGCGGCGUGCCUAAUACAUGCAAGUCGAGCGAACGGACGAGAAGCUUGCUUCUCUGAUGUUAGCGGCGGACGGGUGAGUAACACGUGGAUAACCUACCUAUAAGACUGGGAUAACUUCGGGAAACCGGAGCUAAUACCGGAUGAUAUUUUGAACCGCAUGGUUCAAAAGUGAAAGACGGUCUUGCUGUCACUUAUAGAUGGAUCCGCGCUGCAUUAGCUAGUUGGUAAGGUAACGGCUUACCAAGGCAACGAUGCAUAGCCGACCUGAGAGCAGGAGCAGCCAGACGGGAAGUCAGACACGGUCCAGACACGUACGAGAGGCAGCAGGGGGGAAUAGUGGACAAUGGGCGCAAGACUGAUACAGGCAUACAGGGUGGGUGAAGAAGGCAGUAGGGUGGUGAAGACCUUUUGGUGGGAAAUAAAAGCAGAAGGUUAAUACCCCGCUGUGCUGACGGUGGGCAAAGAAAAAACACCGGCUAACUGCGUG